CCUACGGGAGGCAGCAGUAGGGAAUCUUCCACAAUGGGCGAAAGCCUGAUGGAGCAACGCCGCGUGGGUGAAGAAGGUCUUCGGAUCAUAAAACCCUGUUGUUAGAGAAGAAAGUGCGUGAGAGUAACUGUUCACGUUUCGACGGUAUCUAACCAGAAAGCCACGGCUAACUACGUGCCAGCAGCCGCGGUAAUACGUAGGUGGCAAGCGUUAUCCGGAUUUAUUGGGCGUAAAGGGAACGCAGGCGGUCUUUCAAGUCUGAUGUGAAAGGCUUCGGCUUAAUCGGGGUAGUGCAUUGGAAACUGGGAGACUUGAGUGCAGAAGAGGAGAGUGGAACUCGAUGUGUAGCGGUGAAAUGCGUAGAUAUAUGGAAGAACACCAGUGGCGAAAGCGGCUCUCUGGUCUGUAACUGACGCUGAGGUUCGAAAGCGUGGGUAGCAAACAGGAUUAGAUACCCCGGUAGUC
rnacentral:rRNA from 1 species